rnacentral:rRNA from 1 species
GACGAACGCUGGCGGCGUGCCUAAUACAUGCAAGUCGAGCGAAGUUUUUCUGGUUCUUGCACUAGAAAAACUUAGCGGCGCACGUGUUAGUAACACGUAAAGAACCUGCCUCUUAGACUGGGACAACUAUUGGUAACGAUAUCUUAUACCGGAUAACAGUAUUUCUCGCUUUAUAUAUAUUUAAAAGUUGUUUAUUCUAACACUUUGAGAUUGCUUUUCGUUUCAUUAGCUAGUUGGUUGGGUAAAGGCCCACCAAGGCGACGAUGCAUAGCCGACCUGAGAGGGAGAUCGGCAAAACGGGAACUGAGACACGGACAAGACGACUACGGGAGGAAGCAGUAGGGAAUAUGCCGCAAUGGGCGAAAGCAUGACGGAGCAAAGCCGCGUGAGUGAAGAAGGAUUUCGGUUCGUAAAGAUCUGUUGUUAGGGAAGAAUGGAUAUGUAGUAAAAAUAAAUGUAAGAGACGGUAACGAAACAGAAAGCAACGGCUAACUACGUG